AUUGAACGCUGGCGGCAUGCUUUACACAUGCAAGUCGAACGGCAGCGCGGGCUUCGGCCUGGCGGCGAGUGGCGAACGGGUGAGUAAUACAUCGGAACGUGCCCAGUAGUGGGGGAUAGCUCGGCGAAAGCCGGAUUAAUACCGCAUACGACCUGAGGGUGAAAGCGGGGGAUCUUCGGACCUCGCGCUAUUGGAGCGGCCGAUGGCAGAUUAGCUAGUUGGUGGGGUAAAGGCCUACCAAGGCGACGAUCUGUAGCUGGUCUGAGAGGACGACCAGCCACACUGGGACUGAGACACGGCCCAGACUCCUACGGGAGGCAGCAGUGGGGAAUUUUGGACAAUGGGCGAAAGCCUGAUCCAGCAAUGCCGCGUGUGUGAUGAAGGCCUUCGGGUUGUAAAGCACUUUUGGCGGGAACGAAAAGGAUUGUGCCAACACCACGGUUCGAUGACGGUACCCGCAGAAUAAGCACCGGCUAACUACGUG
rnacentral:rRNA from 1 species